AGAGUUUGAUCAUGGCUCAGAUUGAACGCUGGCGGCAGGCCUAACACAUGCAAGUCGAGCGGUAGAGAGAAGCUUGCUUCUCUUGAGAGCGGCGGACGGGUGAGUAAUGCCUAGGAAUCUGCCUGGUAGUGGGGGAUAACGUUCGGAAACGGACGCUAAUACCGCAUACGUCCUACGGGAGAAAGCAGGGGACCUUCGGGCCUUGCGCUAUCAGAUGAGCCUAGGUCGGAUUAGCUAGUUGGUGGGGUAAUGGCUCACCAAGGCGACGAUCCGUAACUGGUCUGAGAGGAUGAUCAGUCACACUGGAACUGAGACACGGUCCAGACUCCUACGGGAGGCAGCAGUGGGGAAUAUUGGACAAUGGGCGAAAGCCUGAUCCAGCCAUGCCGCGUGUGUGAAGAAGGUCUUCGGAUUGUAAAGCACUUUAAGUUGGGAGGAAGGGCAUUAACCUAAUACGUUAGUGUUUUGACGUUACCGACAGAAUAAGCACCGGCUAACUCUGUGCCAGCAGCCGCGGUAAUACAGAGGGUGCAAGCGUUAAUCGGAAUUACUGGGCGUAAAGCGCGCGUAGGUGGUUUGUUAAGUUGGAUGUGAAAUCCCCGGGCUCAACCUGGGAACUGCAUUCAAAACUGACUGACUAGAGUAUGGUAGAGGGUGGUGGAAUUUCCUGUGUAGCGGUGAAAUGCGUAGAUAUAGGAAGGAACACCAGUGGCGAAGGCGACCACCUGGACUGAUACUGACACUGAGGUGCGAAAGCGUGGGGAGCAAACAGGAUUAGAUACCCUGGUAGUCCACGCCGUAAACGAUGUCAACUAGCCGUUGGGAGCCUUGAGCUCUUAGUGGCGCAGCUAACGCAUUAAGUUGACCGCCUGGGGAGUACGGCCGCAAGGUUAAAACUCAAAUGAAUUGACGGGGGCCCGCACAAGCGGUGGAGCAU
rnacentral:rRNA from 1 species